rnacentral:rRNA from 1 species
UUUUUAUUAUUAUUUUUGCUGCACGCGAGAAACAUGACACACAUGCGCGGUAAAUAUUGAAGGCACAUGCGGGGUAAAUAUUAAACGCGGUUUCUUAUUUCUGACGUUUGCGGUGAGUUGCAGCUUGCGUAUCGAUAUUGACGCGUGUAGGGGCAGCGUUAUGGUGGUAGAGACACCGGUUUCUUAAAGCGUUCGACGGCGUGUGAAAACUCAUGGCAACGUGGCGAUGGAGAGGGAGGGGUGAAAACCGUGAGAAUGGUUGUUGAGGUGGAGAGAAAGUAGUAUGGUGAAGUAUCCAACGGUGGCAAGGAAUGUACGAUAGAGUUUCUAGUGGAGCUAGGAGGGGCGAGCAUAAGGGACGAAGGGAUAAGAAACAAGUCGGAUGCGAUCAUACCAGCACUAAAGCACCGGAUCCCAUCAAAACUACGAAGUUAAGCGUGCUUGUGUGAGAUUAGUACUAGGAUGGGUGACUUCUUGGGAAGUCCUCUUAUUGCAUUCCC